rnacentral:rRNA from 1 species
GUCUACAUUCAUACCACCCUGAACUUGCCUGAUCGCUGAUCUUGGAAACAAAGCAGGGUGGGGCCUGGUUAGUACCUGGCCAGGAGAAAGAAUCUUCUUGGGGGAGGGGGGGAUUUGAGACA